AGAGUUUGAUCAUGGCUCAGGAUGAACGCUAGCUACAGGCUUAACACAUGCAAGUCGAGGGGAAACGAUAUUGGAAGCUUGUUUCCGAUAGGCGUCGACCGGCGCACGGGUGAGUAACGCGUAUCCAACCUGCCCAUCACUUGGGGAUAACCUUGCGAAAGUAAGACUAAUACCCAAUGACGUCUCUAGAAGACAUCUGAAGGAGAUUAAAGAUUUAUCGGUGAUGGAUGGGGAUGCGUCAGAUUAGCUUGUUGGCGGGGUAACGGCCCACCAAGGCUACGAUCAGUAGGGGUUCUGAGAGGAAGGUCCCCCACAUUGGAACUGAGACACGGUCCAAACUCCUACGGGAGGCAGCAGUGAGAAAUAUUGGUCAAUGGACGAGAGUCUGAACCAGCCAAGUAGCGUGCAGGAUGACGGCCCUAUGGGUUGUAAACUGCUUUUAUAAGGGAAUAAAGUGAGCCUCGUGAGGCUUUUUGCAUGUACCUUAUGAAUAAGGACCGGCUAAUUCCGUGCCAGCAGCCGCGGUAAUACGGAAGGUCCGGGCGUUAUCCGGAUUUAUUGGGUUUAAAGGGAGCGUAGGCCGGAGAUUAAGCGUGUUGUGAAAUGUAGACGCUCAACGUCUGCACUGCAGCGCGAACUGGUUUCCUUGAGUACGCACAAAGUGGGCGGAAUUCGUGGUGUAGCGGUGAAAUGCUUAGAUAUCACGAAGAACUCCGAUUGCGAAGGCAGCUCACUGGAGCGCAACUGACGCUGAAGCUCGAAAGUGCGGGUAUCGAACAGGAUUAGAUACCCUGGUAGUCCGCACGGUAAACGAUGGAUGCCCGCUGUUGGUCUGAAUAGGUCAGCGGCCAAGCGAAAGCAUUAAGCAUCCCACCUGGGGAGUACGCCGGCAACGGUGAAACUCAAAGGAAUCGACGGGGGCCCGCACAAGCGGAGGAACAUGUGGUUUAAUUCGAUGAUACGCGAGGAACCUUACCCGGGCUCGAACGGCACCUGGAUCGCCCAGAGAUGGGCGAGUCUUCGGACAGGUGUCGAGGUGCUGCAUGGUUGUCGUCAGCUCGUGCCGUGAGGUGUCGGCUCAAGUGCCAUAACGAGCGCAACCCCUGCCGCCAGUUGCCAUCAGGUGAUACUGGGCACUCUGGCGGGACUGCCACCGCAAGGUGUGAGGAGGGGGGGGAUGACGUCAAAUCAGCACGGCCCUUACGUCCGGGGCGACACACGUGUUACAAUGGCGGCCAUAGAGGGAAGCUACCCCGCGAGGGGAUGCGGAUCUCGAAAAGCCGUCCCAGUUCGGACUGGAGUCUGCAACCCGACUCCACGAAGUUGGAUUCACUAGUAAUCGCGCAUCAGCCAUGGCGCGGUGAAUACGUUCCCGGGCCUUGUACACACCGCCCGUCAAGCCAUGGAAGCCGCGGGCGCCUGAAGUCCGUGACCGUAAGGAGCGGCCUAGGGCGAAAGUGGUAACUGGGGCUAAGUCGUAACAAGGUA
rnacentral:rRNA from 1 species